UGAAAACACUCACUCAGAUUGGUUUAAACACCUUUGCUAUAUUGUGCAACUGCCUUGAAAAGCCCCAUCAGCAUUACCAGCCUUUCAUUCGUUCAUCCAUGCUGCAUCACUCAGUGAAGGGACUCACUCUGAAGCCAAGAGUGUCAUUUCAAAGGACCUGAUUACCCGCUAGCAAUGUCUCUCUUCCACCACCAUGCACGUGCUUUCUUCUCAUAAAAUCAGAACAGACAACAAAGCUGGGCAUACACUGUUUGAACAAGGGAAUCCUUGGCACCGUUCCGAAAUCCAGGGUGUGACUACUGGCAUUCCUUUCCAGGGGCCACCUUCCCGGGGAUGGAAGAUGAAAAGAAGUGCAGCCAUCGCACCGGAUGCGGUGCGGCACUUGCAGAGGAAUGAGAGCCCCAUCAGGAUCCUCAUUAAAGGGAAAUGCGAUUGGAAUGGAGUCAUCAUUCCGUGCCUGGCAAGGAUCCGCCUUCUCCAACCUCCAUCCCUUUCCACCAAUUCCAUUUGAAGUUGGAACUGGGCUCACAGACCUGGAUUUUUAAAAGCCACGGAUGCAAUCAAACAAUACACAUUGUAAGAGAAAGCUGCUGUGCCCGCAGCCAAAUGUGAUAAAGAAAGGGGAUAAAAACCGUAUAAUGGGUUUCAAGGCAAUUAGUUGGGUCUCUGAGAAUGCAGGUGCUGGGUAAUGCUCUCUCCGUUCAUCUAGCCAUUUAUGUACCACAAAAAAAAUAAAUAAAUAAAUCCUCUUCUCAAUAUCUACAGACAUUCUUUCUACCUCAUGGUGUUACUCCCCAAUAAACCGGGAAUGGAUCAGACCCAAGUCACGCUGUGUAUAAUACUAAUUAAGUAAGACAGGCAAAAAUAAUGGCUGCCUUGAUCCAUGAAGCACAAUCAUCGUGUUCCAGCCUGGACACAUCCUGC
rnacentral:lncRNA from 1 species